rnacentral:rRNA from 1 species
UACAGAGGGGCAAGCGUAUUCGGAAUUACUGGGCGUAAAGCGUGCGCAGGCGGUUCUAUAAGACAGAUGUGAAAUCCCCGGGCUCAACCUGGGAACUGCAUUUGUGACUGUAGAGCUGGAGUACGGUAGAGGGGGAUGGAAUUCCGCGUGUAGCAGUGAAAUGCGUAGAUAUGCGGAGGAACACCGAUGGCGAAGGCAAUCCCCUGGACCUGUACUGA